rnacentral:rRNA from 1 species
AUGUGGAGGCUGAAGGUGUCGGAGGGUGGCGGGCCGUGGUUGCGGUCGGUGAACAACUUCCUUGGCAGGGCAGUGUGGGAGUUCGAUCCCGACCACGGCACGCCGGAGGAGCGUGCCGAGGUUGAUAGAGUCCGCCGGGAGUUCACCCAGCGCCGCUUCCAGAAGAGGGAGUCACAGGAUCUUCUUAUGCGCAUGCAGGUCGCUAGGAGGAACUACGCAAAUCAAAAGCACCUUCAGGCGGAUCUUCCGGUCGUCAAGCUUGUAGAUAGUGGAGAAGUCACAGAAGGGACUAUGUUAAUAUGCUUGAGGCGAGCCCUUACUCAACACUCCGCUCUGCAAGCACAUGAUGGGCAUUGGGCUUGCGAUUUCAGUGGAAUUAUGUUCAUUAUGCCUAUAUUGAUAUUUGCUCUUCAUGUUACUGGAUCACUCAAUACUGUCCUUUCAACAGAACAUCAACGUGAGAUUUGUCGCUAUAUUUACAACCAUCAGAAUGAAGAUGGUGGUUGGGGCACGCAAGUGUCGACGCCAAGCACCAUGUUGGGAUCAUGCUUAAACUAUGUUACCUUGAAGCUUCUCGAUGAAGUGAAAAAUGAAGCCUUGACCAAGGGACGUGCCUGGAUUCUAUCACAUGGAAGUGCAGUUGCAAUACCACAAUGGGGAAAGAUAUGGCUCUCGGUGGUCGGUUUGUAUGAAUGGUGUGGAAAUAAUUCGAUCAUUCCUGAAUUAUGGCUUGUCCCACAUUUUCUUCCAAUUCAUCCAGGACGAUUUUGGUGCCUUUGCCGGUUGGUUUAUAUGCCAAUGUCUUAUCUUUAUGGCAAAAAGUUUGUUGGCCCAAUUACACCAACAAUAUUAGCAAUAAGGGAGGAGAUAUAUAGCACCCCGUAUCAUGAGGUCAAUUGGAAUAAAGCACGUGUUACUUGUGCCAAGGAAGACCUUCGUCAUCCACAAUCAUUGCUAAAGAAUGUUAUUUGGACAUGUCUUACUAAAUUUGUGGAACCAAUGUUGAAUUCCUGGCCAAUUAAUAAGUUGAGAGAUAAAGCAUUGAAAAACCUCAUGAAACAUAUGCAUUAUGAAGAUGAAAGUACUAAAUAUAUCGGCAUAUCUCCAAUUAACAAGGCACUAGAUAUGAUCUGUUGCUGGAUUGACGAUCCAAAUUCAGAUGCAUUGAGGUUACAUAUUCCAAGGAUUUAUGACUAUUUAUGGCUUGCAGAAGAUGGCAUGAAAGCACAGGUGUACGAUGGUUGUCAAAGUUGGGAGAUAGCUUUUAUUAUCCAAGCCUAUUGCUCCACAAACCUUGUUAAUGAGUUUGGUACAACACUUAAAAAAGCCUAUGGGUUCUUGAAAAGUUCACAGGUUCUUGAUAACCACCCCGACGGUGAAGCUUAUUACCGCCAUAGAUCAAAAGGUUCAUGGACACUUUCAACAGCAGAUAAUGGUUGGUCUGUAUCAGAUUGCACUGCAGAAGCACUUAAGGCAUUAUUGCUAUUGUCAAAUAUCUCUCCUAAUCUUGUGGGGGAUCCCAUAGAAGAAGAAAGGUUGUAUGAUGCAGUGGAUUGCUUACUUUCUUUCAAGAACAAUGAUGGUACCUUUUCUACAUACGAGUGUAAGAGAACUACAUCAUUGAUAGAGGUUCUCAACCCUUCUGAGUCAUUUCUGAAUAUUAUGGUCGACUAUCCAUCGGUCGAGUGCACAUCAUCGGUUCUUGAAGCCUUGAUUAUGUUUAGUGAAAAUUACCCAGGGUACCGCAAAGAUGAGAUAGGAAAGUGCAUAAAACAUUGUUCCAUGUUUAUUGAGAAUAGUCAACGGAAGGAUGGAUCAUGGUUUGGCACUUGGGGUAUAUGUUUCACCUAUGGAACAUUAUUUGCUGUAAAAGGGUUAAUUGCUGCUGGAAGUACUUACAACAAUAGUUCCUUCAUAAGAAAAGCAUGCAACUUUCUGUUGUCAAAGCAGCUAAGUACAGGUGGAUGGGGUGAGACUUAUCUUUCAAGUGAAACUAAGUCUUAUGUGGAUGCUACUAGUCCUCACGGAGUGAACACUGCUUGGGCAAUGUUGGCUUUAGUUUAUGCUGGGCAGGUUGAACGAGAUCCCACACCAUUGUAUCAUGCCGCAAAAGAAUUGAUGAAUAUGCAACUAGACACAGGGGAGUUUCCCCAGCAAGAACAUGUUGGAUGCUUCAAUUGCUCCGUGUACUUCAAUUAUGGCAACUACUGCAACUUAUAUCCCAUCUGGGCUAUUGGAGAGUUUCAUCGUCGACUACUUGAGAAGAACUGA